rnacentral:rRNA from 1 species
UACGGGGGGGGCAAGCGUUGUUCGGAAUUACUGGGCGUAAAGGGCUCGUAGGCGGCCAACUAAGUCAGACGUGAAAUCCCUCGGCUUAACCGGGGAACUGCGUCUGAUACUGGAUGGCUUGAGUUUGGGAGAGGGAUGCGGAAUUCCAGGUGUAGCGGUGAAAUGCGUAGAUAUCUGGAGGAACACCGGGGGCGAAGGCGGCAUCCUGGACCAACACUGAAGCUGAGUGAGCGAAAGCCAGGGGAGCAAACGGG